rnacentral:hammerhead_ribozyme from 1 species
AUCCAGCUGACGAUUCCCAAAUUGAACGAAACGCGCGUCCUGGAU